GCCGCCUCACCUUCUCCUUGUCGUUCCUCCACGCACAACGUCGGGUCUGAAGCCAUGCAUGGUGUUCGCUGUGCGUCUCCUCGUUCGUGCGAAGUCACUUCGUUGUCCACUUUAUCCUCGUAUACUUCUUUCGCCCGGUUCCGCCGCUGCGGGUUGCUCCCGCUUUCGUCUACCAUUGCUUCUUCAUUUGUCAUCCGCGAAAUGCUAGCCGUCGGGCGUCUCUGCCCUCGAAAGCCAAAGCGUCUCGUGUUCAUCGACAAGUUGUUGAGCAAUUUUCAGUCGGUCAUAUCCAUCUCCAUUGUUGAAGCCCAUUGAUUGCGUCGUCGACCUUUCCCGGGUGCAGUUCAGCGAAAUCCAACCACGCUGCCAGUUGUCUUCGAGCCGUUCACCUAACCCAAGCUGAUUUUUUGUCUUCUUCAGCUGUGUGCAAAAAGCCGCAAACCAAGCCAAGUCGCAAGCCGAGCCGAGCCAAAUCGAGUUGAGCCAAGUCGAGACGACCCGACUCGAGUCGACCCGAGCCAAGCCGCUCCCAAGCCAAGCUGAUCUUCCUGUUCAUCGAACCACUUAAGCCGUCUCCAUCUGCGUUGAGUUUCGGAGAGUUUUGGUGUUAGAGAGGUGACAACCAAAUUCUUGGGUUUUACAGUAAAUGUAGUUUGGAGCCAACUCUCAUCUACUUAGGUGGAUUCGUUUUGGAUGCUGGCUUGAACAAGGAUUGUAGCCACAUCUCAGGUAAGGGUAAUGCGAGGGGCAGACCGACGAGAGGCAAGAAGGAUGCGUGAAGGCCAUAUGGACACAUCUAGUUUUUUUAUGCUUCCGCUGAAUGUAUUUGUUAUUCAUAUUUCUUUUUAAUUAUUAAAUUGAGUCAUGGUUAGAACAACUAUUUUUCUAUUUGGUUUUGAUGACUUUAUGGAUUAUGUUUUGGAACUUUUGGAAAGUGAUCUAAAAUAGGGCCCGAAACUACUUUUGUUAUGUUUUAAAUGUUUUUAAUGAAUCAUAAAUAGGUUUUU